AGGUAUAAAAUUAUUUUUUUUUUUAUUUGUUAUUUUUAUUUUAAUAAAAAUAUUUUUAAUUUAAAUUGUUAAAGUAUUGUUUAAAGAAUUAAUUAAUUUUUAUUAUAAUUUAUUAGUAUUGUGAAAGAAUUUUGAAAUAAAAUUAAAUAAAUUUAAUUAAAAGUAAAUUUAAUUUAUUGUACCUUGUGUAUCAGGGUUUAUUUAUUAAAAAAUAUUUAUAUAUUUUUCUCGAAUUUAAAAGAUUUAUUUAAAUAUUAAUUUUAAUGUGGGAAAAUUAUUUUAAAUAUUUAAAUAGAAAUGAAAUGUUAAUCGUUUUUAAAUUUAUCUAGUUUUUAAAUAAAUAAAUUUAAUUUAGAUAUUAGAUUUUAAAAUAAUAAUUUAUUUAUAUUUUUUUUUAAUAUUAAUAUUUUAAGGGAUAAGCUUUAAAAUAUAAUUUUAUAAUUAAUAAAAAAACAUAAAAAUUUUAUAGGCUUAGAAAUAGUUUUUAUUUAAAUUAUGUUAUAAUUUAUUUUUAUUUAAGGAAAAAUUUUAUUUAAUUUAAAUAUUUAUUUAAAUAAUUAUUAAAAUAAUUUUAAUAAUGUAAUAAUGAUAAAAUUAGUAAAUUUAAUUGUAAUUUUUUUAUUUGUUGAUAGGUAAAAUAAAGGAAUUCGGCAAAAAUUAAUUUUAUACUCGCCUGUUUAUCAAAAACAUGUCUUUUAGAAUUUAAUUUAAAGUCUAAUCUGCUCUAUGAAAUUAUUUUAAAUGGCCGCAGUAUAUUGACUGUGCAAAGGUAGCAUAAUAAUUAGUCUUUUAAUUGAAGGCUGGAAUGAAGGAUUGAACGAAGUAUAAACUGUCUCUAUUUUAUUAAAGGUUUAAUUUAAUUUUUAAGUUAAAAAGCUUAAAUUUUUUUAAAGGACGAGAAGACCCUAUAGAGUUUUAUAAUUUAAUUUAUUUUUAAUUUUAACUUUAUUAAAAAUAAAAAAAAUUAUUUUGUUGGGGUGAUAGGAAAAUUUAUUAAACUUUUUUAUUAUUUAUACAAAAAUUAUUGAAAAUUUUGAUCCUAAUUUUUAGAUUAAUAGAUUAAAUUACCUUAGGGAUAACAGCGUAAUUUUUUUUAGAGUUCUUAUCAAUAUUAAAGAUUGCGACCUCGAUGUUGGAUUAAAAUAAAUUUUAGGUGAAGAAGCUUAAAUUUUAGGUCUGUUCGACCUUUAGAAUUUUACAUGAUCUGAGUUCAAACCGGUGUAAGCCAGGUUGGUUUCUAUCCUUAAAAUUUUAAAAAUUUUUUAGUACGAAAGGACCAAAAAUUUAAAUUUAAAUUUAAUUAUAGAAGAAUUUUAUUAAUUUAUAAAUUUAAAAUUUAA
rnacentral:rRNA from 1 species